AUGCGCCUCUUUUCUCCAUCUUCUUUUAACUCCCCACCAAAUCGAAAUCUGAAACAAAUCAGAAGAAAUCAGAAGAAAUUAGUAUAAUCAUUGCUCCUAAAACCAAACCUUUUCUCCAUCUUCCUGAUCUCCUCCACAAAAUCAAAGUUCUUCCAUGAAUCCAAUCUAAUCUUGUUACCAUAGAACAAAGCAAAAGAUACCAUUCAUUCUUCGUGAACCAUUUUCUUCUUUUCGUCUUUGUUGUUAACGUUUGUGACUUACCGAUCUUCUUGUAUUUUAUUGGAGAGUUUCAUUUUCUACAAUUUCUGUUCAGAUUUGAAAAGAAAAUAGGAAUUUGAUCUGGGAUUUUUUUAGGGUUUUUGUAAAUUUUAUUUGUAGAAAUUUUCAUUGGUUUUUCUUAUGAUUUUGUAUCAGAUUCUUUGGGUUGAGUUUCUAUGUAUUUCAAUUUCUGAUUUAGUUCUCUUUGAAGCAUAGAAGUUUUUUUUGACUUUCUUCUUUGCUGAAAUUAUUUUGAAAACAUUGAAGUUAUUUUGAUUGCCUUACCGUAUGCAUUAAUCUUAUGGUGAAAUUUUGCUAAUUUCGCUUAAUUUUUUAUGUUUUUAGAUUAUUAGUUAGUAAAAGGAGAUUGAGGAGAUGGCUAAGAAGAAUUGGAUGAGAGACAGAGCAAGCUAUUUGGGUUGAGGGGACAAAUAUAGGCGGUGAAAGGAUAAUGUGGCUCUUUGGAAGGUUUUUUUUAUGUAUUAUCAACUAGAAGAAUGCAAGGAGAGUUGUAAUAACACCAAUUUUAUCUCAAAACCAAGCUAAGUAGUAUUGCUCCAUUAGUUUUUUCUAUUGUAUCCAUGUGGUUCUUAGUUUAUUAUGUAACUGUUGGUGGCUCACUAAUAUUCUUGUCUGAAAAUUCAGGGAGAAGACCAAAGCAGCUGGAAAGUUUGGCAAGGUUAUGCGCAUACUGGUGUGGUUUCUUUAGUCGCAUGGUUCUGCUGGGAAACAUUUUUUUAGGUUAUAUAUUGAUGAGUUUGAGGUUCAAUAGUUUGUCCUUAUUCUGCUUUUAUCUCGAAUUUUAGGUCUUCGUAAUUACCAUUGAUAUGAACCUUGCACCCAAAUUGUGCAGUUAGCAUCAAGGAGAAUACAAGGAGGUGGCAAUACUGGAAAUGCGUUAACUUGUGAUGCUCGUUUGAAGGAUAUUAGCAUGUUGCUUAAAAAGCUUUAGUAUUCAGUCACGGACAUAUUUUGUGAAUAUAAUUGGAGAUGCCAAGAUGGUGGUGCUCUAAUGGCUUUUUCAAACAUCUACAAGCUCCCCCAUUCAUUUCAGACAUUGAAUCAGCUCCUAAUUACGCCUUUUUCGAACACGAGAGCAAGGGCAUUUUCUCUUGGACUACUAGCUCUCAAGUUGAAGGAUCUUAGCAUGUUGCUUACGAAGCUUUAGUCUUCAGUCAAUUACAUCUUUGGUGAAUAUAAUUGUAGAUGCCAAGAUGGUGGUGCUCUAAUGGCUUAGUCAAACAUCUACAAGCUCCCUCAUUCAUUUCACACAUUGAAUCAGCUCCUAAUUAAGCCUUUUUCGAACACGAGAGCAAGGGCUUUUUCUUUUGGACUACCAGCUCUCAAGAUGGGAAAUUUCACUCAACAAGGCUAUAUUUCGCUAGCAUGAACAAGUUGGGAUUGAUCAGCUAGGUGUAAAAAGCAAAGAAGAGACGUUUGAGAGCAACAACUGUAAAUGGUUCAACUCGAGGUGGUUACACAGGCAGAUAUCUGGAAUGUUGUGUUAUCUCAGUUUAGGAGCAUAGUAGUGUAAUGGAAAAGCAAUAGGAUUAGGUUCUUGGGGAGUAGAAAGCUCUUUGCAGGUGCAAUUCAAUAAGGUAUUUGUAUCACUAAUGUGACUGAUUUGUUAAAGUUUUAUUCUCCGAUGCAUAACAUUUAUAGAGCCACAUAGGAUUUGGUUCAUAGGGAGCAGACAACUCUUUGGAGUUGCAGAGAGUUUCUCUCUGUUUUUAUCUCUAUGUAAGAGGAGAUUAGAUAGUUAAAACUUACAUUGAUUUGAAGUCAGCAUUUAAAUCCUAUUUUGUAUUUGUAUUUGUGUGAAUUCAGAAUUUGAAUC